rnacentral:tRNA from 1 species
GCAGUGGUGGUUCAGUGGUAGAAAUCUCACCUUCCAUGUGGAAGACCUGGGUUCAAUUCCCAGCCAAUGCA